rnacentral:rRNA from 1 species
UGUGUAGGCGGUUCUUUAAGUUUGUUGUGAAAUCUCCCGGCUUAACCGGGAGGGUGCGGCGAAUACUGAGGGACUAGAGUACGGGAGAGGAAAGUGGAAUUCCUGGUGUAGCGGUGAAAUGCGUAGAUAUCAGGAGGAACACCGGUGGUGUAGACGGCUUUCUGGACCGACACUGACGCUGAGACACGAAAGCGUGGGUAGCAAACAGGAUUAGAUACCCUGGUAGUCCACGCCCUAAACGAUGCAUAUUUGGUGUGGGCAGUUCAUUCUGUCCGUGCCGGAGCUAACGCGUUAAAUAUGCCGCCUGGGGAGUACAGUCGCAAGGCUGAA